rnacentral:rRNA from 1 species
GACGAACGCUGGCGGCGUGCUUAACACAUGCAAGUCGAACGGUGAAGCGCCUGCCUUUUUGGGGGGUGUGGAUGAGUGGCGAACGGGUGAGUAACACGUCAGUAACCUUCCCCCUUCUUCUUGAUAACCGCAUGAAAGUGUGGCGAAUACGGGAUAUUCUGCGUCUGUCGCAGGAUGGGUCUGGUUAAGAUAUUGUUUCGGUGGGGGAUGGGCUCACGUCCUAUCAGCUUGUUGGUGUGGUGAUGGCCUACGAAGGCGGUGACGUGUAGCCGGCCUGAGAGGGUGGAGGGUCACGUCGGGAAUGAGACACGGCCACGACGGCUACGGGAGGCAGCCGUGGCGCAUAUUGGAGGAUGCGGGCAAGACUGAUGCGGAGUGGGCGAGUGAGGGAUGGAGCCAUGCGGGUUGUGAGAUUCUGGUGCUAGUGAUGUAGGACUGUCUCGUUUGUGGGGGGGUUGACGGUAGCUGGAUAAGAAGCGCCGGCUAACUACGUG